rnacentral:lncRNA from 1 species
CAGUUUUCCUUACCAUCACAAGCCAGGUAUGGUGGCUGUUCUUUGGAUUUGAUGGGUACCUCAAGUUGAAGAUCGAAGCCAGCUACUCUACUUGUCAUCAACAACAAGCCUAGCACACUCUCAGCCACACCCAUGACUCCAUGAUGGGUCAGGAUCUCCAUGGUUAAGCUUCAAUGACAACCUCAACAGCCCCAAGUCAUUAGGUCUAAUUUUUUUGUGAGGAUCCAUGAGAUUAUUCUGAUGGUUUCAGAUUCGCAAAUGCACUAGGAGGUCGCCAACAUGGAUCAGAUCUAAGCCAUUUCGAGGCAGGUGUGUCGUCAUUCCUAAUUUUCUCGCUCUCUUAGGUUGUAGUAAGAACAAUAUAUCUCCCUUGGUGCAAGCAGAAAAAACACUUGCUGUAACUUUUGAAGUUAGCACGCCUAGUAUAUAUACUUUGUGACUAAUGCAUCAUCAUUUAUUCCAGCACCAGUAAGCAGGAUAAAGAUUUCUCUUGGAAGGACAAGCUUCUUAAUUUGUGACGACUUCAAGGUCUGGCGAGCGGGAAGGUAUGUUCAGGUUUUAGUUGCCGUCCAUCAUUUCCCUUGGAUUCACAAAUAAUCUGGAAUUAAUCUGUAGCAUAGUUGUUCAUAGCGCUCAUUACUGGUGACAUAUUUAGCA